rnacentral:rRNA from 1 species
CACGUAGGGGCCAAGCGUUGUCCGGAUUUAUUGGGCGUAAAGAGCUCGUAGGCGGCUUCGUAAGUCGGGUGUGAAAACCCCAGGCUCAACCUGGGGACGCCACCCGAUACUGCGAUGGCUAGAGUCCGGUAGGGGAGCGCGGAAUCCUGGUGUAGCGGUGAAAUGCGCAGAUAUCGGGAAGAACACCCGUGGCGAAGGCGGCUCUCUGGGACGGUACUGACGCUGAGACGCGAAAGCGUGGGGAGCGAACAGG